rnacentral:rRNA from 1 species
UGGUGGAGUGAUUUGUCUGGUUAAUUCCGUUAACGAACGAGACCCCUGCCUGCUAAAUAGUCUGGUGAUUGUCUUACACUGACUUUAACUUCUUAGAGGGACGUGCAUUCGACUAGUUGCAGGAAGAUAGGGGCAAUAACA